CUCGAUCAAAUACCAAUUAGGAUUUAUCAGCUAAUAAAUGAUAAUUCAUAUUCGAAGUUGGGAGAAAAUUGCAGCCAAUUAUAACUAAUGUCAAUUGCUAUUUUUUUUCUGGUAUAAAUUAGCUGCAAUGUCACAUCAUGUUCUUUAUGGUCUCUACGUAUUUGUAAUUAAAAUUCAUUCUUAUGCAUCCAAUGUGUAACAGUAUUAUCUAAUUUCUGUGAAGUCUGAUUGAUAUGGCAUCCUACUCUAUACUCACUUUUUG
rnacentral:lncRNA from 1 species